UACGUAGGGCGCAAGCGUUGUCCGGAAUUAUUGGGCGUAAAGAGCUCGUAGGCGGCUUGUCACGUCGGGUGUGAAAGCCCGGGGCUCAACCCUGGAAUGCCGGUGGAUACUGUCGAGCUCGAGUCCGGAAGAGGCGAGUGGAAUUCCUGGUGUAGCGGUGAAAUGCGCAGAUAUCAGGAGGAACACCGGUGGCGAAGGCGGGUCUCUGGGCAACAACUGACGCUGAGGAGCGAAAGCGUGGGGAGCGAACAGG
rnacentral:rRNA from 1 species